rnacentral:tRNA from 1 species
UGGAUUUAAGAUCCUUAGGUUAUGUUUGGGUAGAUUAGUCUAAUUUAGGAUAAUAGAUUGUAAAUUUAU